UCCCAGCUGGUGAUGACAAAAGAUGACGAGCCUGACAUAUCUUUGAAGCACCACGUUUUGUGUAGCUUCUUUGGCACUGUGAUGUCGAAUCGAGGCAUUUGUCUGAGGCUGGUAAUAAGACAGCUACCAAUUACUGGUAAUAGUUUUUUUUCCUGAGCUGCUUGCUCUUCUACAACCUUAAAGGGUGUGGCACAAUUCCACUCGAGAAGUCUUUAGGCAUCAAAAUGUACCAGAAAUAAGGAGGAUUUUUCUCAGUGGUAUACACAAGUUGAUGCAUCUAUAUUUCCCACCAGCUUCCAGUGGUAUGUAACGGAGGAUCUUUUCCAUCUGUAGUUGAGAUGCUUAAGGGAUAGAAAUGGCAAGGCAAAUCCAGCAGCUUGUAGGUUCAUAUGUUGUCAUUUGGCCAAAGUUCUGCUUUGUAGAAGAAACUUCCUUUAGGAAAGGGAAAUUUGCUUGUCAGUAAGGAUCAUCAAUGUAAAAAGAAAACAGGAACUGAGAUCUCAAAAGAAGGUAGAUGUUUCACAGCUUUAAGGAACAGGCUGAAAGAGGGCUUACUACCUGCCAAGAAAUGUAUGUUGGAUGAAACUUUUCAUGAAAAGACAUGACCAAGCUUACUAUUGUUGUAGAUGUUACUGUGUAGAAAGAAGAUGAAAUGGUUAAACAGUGAGAUGGUUGGUUUUUUUGAGGGAGCUGGUAAUGCCAGCUCUGUAGAGUCAAUAAACAUCAGGUUCUCAGUAAGGGUGUAGUCACACAAAGAAAGAGCAAGAAAAUUCUUGCAGGCGUUGCCUUUUUUUUUUUUGCUUGUCUCUACUCUUCAUGAGGCUGAGCAUAGCUUUCUAGUAUGGUAGAUAUGGUGUUCAAAUGUUCACUAUGACGUCGAAUAAAAACCUGCUGUGUUUACUCAGACAAAA